UACGUAGGGGGCAAGCGUUGUCCGGAUUUAUUGGGCGUAAAGCGCUCGCAGGUGGUUCGAUGCGUCGUGCGUGAAAGACCCCGGCUCAACUUGGGGGUGUCGUGCGAUACGGUCGGACUGGAGGCCAGUAGGGGGAUGCGGAAUUCCGGGUGUAGUGGUGAAAUGCGUAGAUAUCGGGAGGAACACCAGUGGCGAAGGCGGCUUUCUGGUCUGCUCUUGACGCUGAGGCGCGAAAGCUAGGGUAGCAAACGGG
rnacentral:rRNA from 1 species